rnacentral:tRNA from 1 species
UCCGAAAUAGCUCAGUUGGGAGAGCGUUAGACUGAAGAUCUAAAGGUCCCUGGUUCAAUCCUGAGUUUUGUCA